rnacentral:rRNA from 1 species
UACGAAGGGGGCUAGCGUUGUUCGGAAUUACUGGGCGUAAAGCGCACGUAGGCGGAUUAAUAAGUCAGGGGUGAAAUCCCGGGGCUCAACCUCGGAACUGCCUCUGAUACUGUUAGUCUCGAGUCCGAUAGAGGUGAGUGGAAUUCCUAGUGUAGAGGUGAAAUUCGUAGAUAUUAGGAAGAACACCAGUGGCGAAGGCGGCUCACUGGAUCGGUACUGACGCUGAGGUGCGAAAGCGUGGGGAGCAAACAGG